CACGUAGGGGCGAGCGUUGUCCGGAUUUAUUGGGCGUAAAGAGCUCGUAGGCGGCUCGGUAAGUCAGGUGUGAAAACUCUAGGCUCAACCUAGAGACGCCACCUGAUACUGCCGUGGCUAGAGUCCGGUAGGGGAGCAUGGAAUUCCUGGUGUAGCGGUGAAAUGCGCAGAUAUCAGGAGGAACACCAGUGGCGAAGGCGGUGCUCUGGGCCGGAACUGACGCUGAGGAGCGAAAGCGUGGGGAGCAAACAGG
rnacentral:rRNA from 1 species